rnacentral:lncRNA from 1 species
CAAUCGCCUUUGUACUUAAACAACCUCCUCAAUUUUGUUCUAAUUCCGAUUCCGAUACUUUUAUACCAUUAAACUCGCAUGUAUUUUAUGCCGGUCGUUAAAAAUUAUCAAAAUUUUAAUUUUUUUUAUCAUAAGAUAAAUGACAUUGAAAAAUUAUAGAAUUGAUAUUCUAAAAGUUUCUAAGUGCUUUAGAACAUGUUUAAUUGUGUGGGUCGCCGUUUCGAAAGCUUUGUCAUCGAAAACGACUUAUAAAUAUGAAAAUUUUCGUAAUUAUAAGAGUAUAGUAAUUCAGUUCACUUUGUUAUAUGUAUAUAAAGAGGGAUUGGCCAUUUUACUAACGUACAUUUCAACCGUAUAAUUCUUAAUCCAAAUGUCAAAAUAUCGAACGUAUCGAAUGCUCUAUACUUUCUAUAGCAUAGUAGCUUUACACUAUAUAUAUAGUGUAGAGCUACUAUGCUAUCAAAAAUAUAGAGAAUCUGAUACUUCAAACUUUUUGACCAUUGGAUCAAGAAUUAUACGGUUAGGAUGAUUGCGGUCCCCUAUGGUUGAGUAGUACCCCUAGGGUUGAGUAGUCCUCAUAGGAUAAUAGUAUUAAUCAAAAGGUUAGAAAUGAUCAAAGGGGUUGAUUUCUAAAUACUUCAAGUGGUAUAGAUCUUGUUUAACGGUGCCGAUCGUCGAUUUGGAGGCUCUAUCAUUGAAAACAAAUGGGUCGCAACGGAGCCCGUUUGCUAUUGAUAGUAUUUUAGCUCAACUCUAUAUAUAUAUAUAUAUAUAGUCCAGCUACUAUACUCUUAUGAGCAUAGAGCUCUUCGUACUCAUAAGUUGUUUUCGAUGUUAGGCUUUUCGAAUCGACGAUCCACAUUGUUAAAUAUGAUCUAGAGUAUUUGAAACUUCUAGAGAAUAAAUUUCGUAAUUUUUCAAAAUCAUUAUAAAGUCCAUCAAGCGGGUAUAAAAUGAACGGUUAAAAUCGAAUGGCAUUCUAAAAAUGGAUGAUCAAAUCAUUCAAUUUAAGAUCGGAGUUAUUGAUCUUUAUUUAGGUAGUGAAUAGAAUUUUUUAUCAAAAAUUCAAUAUAUUCUGAUUCUUUUUCACCGUUAAACUAGCAAAUAUCUCAUAUCGACCGUUAAAAAUUGUCAAUUUUGUGAGCUUUUGAUCGUAAGGUAAAUGAUAUAAAAAAAUUAUAAAAUUUGAUUUCCAAAAGUUUUAAAUGCUUUAGAUAAUAUUUAACGGUACGGAUCGUCGAUUCGGAAGCUCUAUCAUUGAACACAACUUAUGAGUAUGAAGGCAAUCGUACUCAUAAGAGUAUAUUAGCCGGACUCUAUAUAUAGAGAGAGAGAGAGAGAGUUAUGCCGGAAUAUUAUUGAUAGUGAAAGCUCCUUUUUACUAUCAAGUUUUUAAUUCUUAGAUGAGAAAUUGUAGGAUUAUGAUAAUAUUAAUCCCUUAGAGUUGAGUGGUCCCAACUGGGUCAUAAUAUUUAAUCUAAUGUUUAGAAAUUAUGAAAGAAAUUGAUCCAAAUAUUAAAAAUUUGAUAGGAAAAAAAGAUUUUUGCUAUCAAUAGCAUUCUAGCCCAACUCUCUCUCUCUCAUAAUAUACAUAUUUCCUAAGAUAUAUAGCAUCUUCUAGGAAAAAAAAAGGCAACAAGAAACACAAAAACUAUGACGGUUUAUACAAAGACUAUGGCGGUUUGUUCAACACUACCAUAGCUCUCUCUCUCUCUCUCUCUCUCUCUCUCUCUCUCUCUAGGGUCCCACUAGCCGCACCAAAAUUAAAGCAUGAAUUCAUUUCUUAUUCCUAACUUUUUAUUGUGGAUUUGUAUAAUAGAAUAACUAAUAAUCAUCCACAGGUGUAGUAUAAAUAUAACAACUAUAUAUUUAGAAAGAGUGACUAUAUUCUUAAUACGAUCGCUUUUGUAUUUAAACAACCUCCUCAAUUUUGUUCUAAUUUUGAUUCCGAUACUUUUAUACCAUUAAACUACACUACAACAGAACUAGAUUAUAGGGACACAUAUUUGGGACAUUUUUGUAUAAGUGUCCCAUUUACGCCAAAACUAAAAAAAAAAUCUACUAAUGCCUAAAUAUAAAGACCAAUCCAAUCAAAAAUAAAAGGUUAUUCUACUCAACCCACCCCAUAUAGCCCAUUUGGCUAGAUUACAAAUAGAAAAAAAAAAUAAAAUCGAUUACUAUUUCCCCUUCUCCUCUCCCCCAGUCCACUGAAAUUUUAGACGAAAAGCUCUUCCCUCUCCUCUUCCGCCACCACAGUCAAUGAGGUAGAGUUUCGACGGUUGCUAAAUGCUUAAAUAAGUGUUGAUAAAUUAGUAGCACUCUUUUUAGGUUAUAAAGACACACUCUUUAACUGUCAUUAUAUACCUACCGACCCCACAAAUAGCAACACUUUUUGAAAAUGUCGGUAAUUUAGCCAGCAAUAUUUUUUUUUUAUCUAUACCGAUAUUUAAAAGUGUCAUUAUAGACCAUUUUUGUUGUAGUGCUAGCAGGUAUUUUAUGCUGUCGUUAAAAAUUAUCAAAUUUUUUAUUUUUUUUAUCAUAAGAUAAAUGAUAUCGAAAAAUUAUGAAAUUAGUUUUCUAAAAAUUUCAAGUGCUAACAUGUUUAACUGCAUGGGUUGCCGUUUUGAAAGUUUUGUCAUCGAAAAUAAAUUAUAAAUAUGAAAAUUUUCAAACUUAUAAGAGUAUAGUAAUUCAAUUCUCUUGCUGUAU